GACAACAUAUUAGGCUAACAGAUAAUUGGUCAGAUUACAUAGAAAUAGAUCAUUAAGGUAAAAACUGCAUUCAGUUUGUAUCAGUUGAAAUAAUGAAAUAUUAAUUAUUGGGUCACAAGACUAUGUGUCAUCCUUAUAUGCUCUGUUACAGCGGAAAAACUUAAAAAUGUCUUACAUCUAAUUAUAGCAUAGCCGCCUACCUCUGAAUUAUGAACGGAAGAAUAUGAAGACGCCCGCUGUUGCCAUCAAAUGGAUUCUUUGUUAUAGGCCUACGUAUUCUGUGCCCUAAAUACAGCUACUAAUGAAUUAAACCAUGUACACAGUAAAGCUAAAAUACACCUAUACUAUAGCCUCCAAGUCUGGAAGCGCGUUUUGUGAUUUAGACGAGGUUGUUUUCUGUAGUCCUUCAGAAAAGCGCGCGCAUGCAUGCUCACGCGGCUGUAGUGAAGCACGCGAUCGAUCGGCCUUGCUAAAAAACCUUCCUUGGUCUUGUGUUGUCAAAUAUUUUUGUAAAAUUUUGAAGCUUUAACCCCCUUCCAGAAAGAACUUAUGAAUUAUACACGAAUCAAGUAAAUCAAACGUAGCCUAUUUUGGAUUAAAAAAAGAAGACGACUCGUUUUCAGCACGGACCAUGGUUCAAACAAGCGAUUUAUGAGAUCAUGAGGACAAGGACGGCACACCUGGAGUGAAUUCAGGCUGGAUUGAGUCUUCCACUUUCACCGCAUCAAUAGUCACAUGACCAAGCUCUGGGAGCAGUAUUCCCAGCAAGAGGACCUCUGGAAGCUUGCAUAUAUGCACGUGUCAGAGUGUCAUGGCGGAUCGGUGACAGCUGGAGGACAGAAAGCACUCCAUCAUUAGUACAAAAAGCUGGGAGGAGAAAGGGAGGAGCAGCUCAGUUAACAGCACUGCACGCUCCUCUUUCAGUCUGCCAGGAGAGGUGGCAGUGAUCAAGGACCCGCUGCCCUUCGCUGUCAGGGCCAAAGGGCCGAGUAGCAGGUGUAUGUCUGUGAUGCGAUUGAAUAUUGUGAUCCAGCAGCAUCUGUGCGGUCAGGCUUUGGAAUCUAGUGUAUCCUUUUACAUCAUCACCACUAAAUCCAAAUGAUUUAGUCAAGCAAUUUCUGUUUUGGAAAAAUCGGAUAUCCUGGUCCCAUUGAGCAGAACAGCUAAAGCCAGGAUCAUAGUUUGGAUUCAGUUUUGCCAUAAUUGUGCUUUGAGCUAGAUAAUAUUUUGAAACAUGGCUUAAAUUUAAUAGGAUGAAAUGACACUGCCGGUAUUUCAUAUAACAACUGUCUAGACUUCCACAUCAUUGCUAUACGGCUUCUGUCGAAUGAAACAUUGUGCUUCCACAUCUGUCUUUAUUUUUAUAUGGCUCUUUCACUGUCUAUCAGGCUGUGGCUUUUCUAACUCACUGGGUGUUUCUGAAAAUCCCCAAACAAGAGACCUAUAAUAAAUUUAUUACCAUAUUUUCCCCAUGGCUAACCCUGUAUAUUUUCCAUGUUCUUGUUUCAGUAGUCCUGAAAAUAAAAUGAAAAAAACAGAAUUUACUUCUUACGCUAGACUCAAUGCUGAAAACCAUGAAAUAUAAGCAAUCAUGCUUUUUUAAACCUCUUGUGUUCUAUGUGUUUUGAAGAAAUACAGUAACCCAUAAAACUGCCCAUGAAAUUCAUAUGAAUA